UACGUAGGGUGCGAGCGUUAAUCGGAAUUACUGGGCGUAAAGCGUGCGUAGGCGGUUCGCUGUGUCCGAUGUGAAAGCCCCGGGGUUAACCUGGGAAUGGCAUUGGAAACUGGCGGGCUUGAGUGCGGCAGAGGGGGGUGGAAUUCCGCGUGUAGCAGUGAAAUGCGUAGAGAUGCGGAGGAACACCGAUGGCGAAGGCAGCCCCCUGGGUCGACACUGACGCUCAGGCACGAAAGCGUGGGGAGCAAACAGG
rnacentral:rRNA from 1 species